rnacentral:tRNA from 1 species
GUCCCUGUCGUCCAGAGGCCCAGGACCCGGCCCUUUCAAGGCCGUAACGCCGGUUCGAAUCCGGUCGGGGAUA